rnacentral:rRNA from 1 species
UACAGAGGGUGCAAGCGUUAAUCGGAAUUACUGGGCGUAAAGCGUGCGUAGACGGUCAUGUAAGUCGGGUGUGAAAGCCCCGGGCUCAACCUGGGAAUUGCAUUCGAGACUGCAUGGCUAGGAUGCGGAAGAGGGAAGCGGAAUUUCCGGUGUAGCGGUGAAAUGCGUAGAUAUCGGAAGGAACACCAGUGGCGAAAGCGGCUUCCUGGACAGAUACUGACACUGAGGCGCGAGAGCGUGGGGAGCAAACAGG